UAUGAGCCAUUAUGGACAGCAUGCAUUACAAAGGGUCUACUUGCUCACCCAGCUCACACUGCUCAUUCAGCAAGUGCUUUCUGAAUGCCCACUGUGUGCCAGGAGCUGUCACAGCAAGCAAGGAGCGAACCCCAGCUCUCAAGAGCUCACAGGUGGAGGAAUCACUUGACAGAGAGACAACACUCUGGAGAUCGAAGCCUUUGACUAGGGGGCAUAGCUUGUGUGCUGCAAAGGCUAUUGGAUGGGGAGGCAGCAGUGCAUUGACAGAGAGGCUCUGCCCAAGGUCAUGUGGAUGUAAGCAGCAGAGGAGGACUCACAUUCAGAUCUGGCCAAGUCCCAGGCUCAGACUUCUGUCCCAAGGACACCUGCCUCCAUGUCAAGCUCCAGGUGAACAAAGAAGGCAGCUUGCCUCAUGUUCUUUCAAGAAGGGAGAAGGAGAGAAAGCAGAAGUCACACACACAUCAUCUGGUGUCUUGCCAGGAGACACCACACAGCACCUUAUGACUCUGCCACCAAGAAGUUUACCAGGAGGUGCAUCCCGUUGUCUUGGAACCCCAAAGCUGUGAGAGGCAGCAUAAACCUUUCUUCUUCCUAACUUACCCAGUCUGUGGUAUUGUGAUAUGAGCAACAGAAAACAGACUAAGAUGCACAGUAUUACCUUAAGAAGUAAACCAUUUGUGGUAACUUCUGGUGGGAGUCAUCAAUCCUACUCCUGGAAAUCCCCACUAGCUUUUCAUGGUUGUCUCAAACCCGUGGGAGAUUACUGAAGUCACCCCCUCCAUGUUCUUGCUAACCCUGGGUUUCUAUCACCACCAUCUAGCUUGGUCCUAACCACAUCCUCAGGCCCCCUGCACCUGGCUGCCUCCCUCCAUACUCUUCUUUCCCCCACAACCUCUGAGACAUCACAGGUUCCAGCUUUCUGUUUGGGACCACCAUUUCCCUAGGUGAGAACAUUUGCAUUUCUAGUCUUAGCCACCGAGUGACGGAUGAAGUUCCCCUAGCUUCAAUCCUGACUUCUUGCCUGAGUGAGUUAACUACAUUUUGUUGGCCAUCAUGUUCACAAAUAUAAAACAUCCAAAGCAACAUUCAAGAGCCUGCAAACUUGUAUGGUUCUCCCUAAUUCUCUAGUACAGGUAGUGGCACCGUGGGCCAUGUUACCCAGGUCAGACACAGUGGUGGCUUUUGUGUCUUUUCUUUCACCUCCACCACUCACCCACUCCAGGCUGUGUGUGAGCCCAGCUGCCGUGUUGUGAUGGCUGCUCUAACCCUGGUAUUUAACACAGCGUGGAACCCACAGCC